AAAAAUUAACUCCCAAAUACUGUUGUCUUUGAUAAAUUAGACGAAUAAAAUAUCAGCACGUGUCAAACAGAUUAAAUUUACAGUUUCACCAAAAUAAUAACCAUGCAGAAAAUAAUGAGUAGAAAAUAUUCAACCACGAGACACAAAGAUUUUACAUAGAAAAUCCUCUAAAACUAAGUGGUAAAAACCAUGGGACAAACUCCAAAGAAUUCACUAGAAUAAUAUGAGAGAAUACAAAGACAUCUUAAUUUGAGUACAAACUUAAA
rnacentral:lncRNA from 1 species